rnacentral:rRNA from 1 species
GAUGAACGCUGGCGGCGUGCCUAAUACAUGCAAGUCGAGCGAACGGACGAGAAGCUUGCUUCUCUGAUGUUAGCGGCGGACGGGUGAGUAACACGUGGAUAACCUACCUAUAAGACUGGGAUAACUUCGGGAAACCGGAGCUAAUACCGGAUGAUAUUUUGAACCGCAUGGUUCAAAAGUGAAAGACGGUCUUGCUGUCACUUAUAGAUGGAUCCGCGCUGCAUUAGCUAGUUGGUAAGGUAACGGCUUACCAAGGCAACGAUGCAUAGCCGACCUGAGAGGGUGAUCGGCCACACUGGAACUGAGACACGGUCCAGACUCCUACGGGAGGCAGCAGUAGGGAAUCUUCCGCAAAGGGCGAAAGCCUGACGGAGCAACCCCGCGUGAGUGAUGAAGGUCUUCGGAUCGUAAAACUCUGUUAUUAGGGAAGAACAUAUGUGUAAGUAACUGUGCACAUCUUGACGGUACCUAAUCAGAAAGCCACGGCUAACUACGUG